AUGCAUGCAAUGCAAUGGUGGGAUGAGUGGAAGCUGUGCGUCCUUGUCUUGUGCAGUCUCUCUGUCCAGUUCUUCCUCUACUUCUCAAAUUAUGUGCGUAGAUUGCAUAACCUACGCAGGUUGAGGGUGCUGGUGUGGAUCGCGCACAUUGGCGGGGAUGCCCUGGCGGUCUAUGCUAUUGCCAUCCUCUUCAACCGCCAAAAGCAGCGAAAUGUGGAUGAGAGAAGCGAAGCUCUCGAGCUCAUAUGGUUGCCUAUCCUCCUCAUUCACCUCGGCGGCCAGUCCUACAGCCUCGAGGACAAUGAGCUAUGGAAGCGGCAUGCCAUAACUCUGCUGUCCCAAGUCGCGUUCGCCUUGUACAUCUUUUGCAAGUGGUGGUCCGGCCAGAAGAGGCUCCUGCAGGCGGCCGUCUUGCUCUUUGUCGCUGGCAUCCUCGAGUUCGGCCAGAAGCCAUGGGCCCUUAAGAGGGCCAGCUUCAAUAGCAUGGCCUCCAAAAGUUCACAAAGAUCUUUGCCUUUAUUGUUGUAA
rnacentral:rRNA from 1 species